rnacentral:rRNA from 1 species
UAGGGAAUCUUCGGCAAUGGGGGGAACCCUGACCGAGCAACGCCGCGUGAGUGAAGAAGGUUUUCGGACCGUAAAGCUCUGUUGUUAAGGAAGAACGAGUGUGAGAAUGGAAAGUUCAUGCUGUGACGGUACUUAACCAGAAAGGGACGGCUAACUACGUGCCAGCAGCCGCGGUAAUACGUAGGUCCCGAGCGUUGUCCGGAUUUAUUGGGCGUAAAGCGAGCGCAGGCGGUUAGAAAAGUCUGAAGUGAAAGGCAGUGGCUCAACCAUUGUAGGCUUUGGAAACUGUUUAACUUGAGUGCAGAAGGGGAGAGUGGAAUUCCAUGUGUAGCGGUGAAAUGCGUAGAUAUAUGGAGGAACACCGGUGGCGAAAGCGGCUCUCUGGUCUGUAACUGACGCGGAGGCUCGAAAGCGUGGGGAGCGAACAGG